AGUCCCCGGCGCCCGGUAAUACCGCCGGCGCAGACUCGGGAUUCAGAGGAGGCGGAAUAAAACAGACGCAGCUUCGGAAUCUGUGAGCGGACGGUCCGGAGGCAGAGGCGUGGGAAGCGUGACGAAAGGGCAGAAAGGUUCUGGCUCCUCGAGUUGGAAUUAUUCCUGAUGCACUUGGACUGCGAAAAGCCUUUUUCGCUUCCAGGCCGGCUGUCGGGCCUCGCCUAGCAACAUUUCAACCAUAUUUCUUACGUUUGCGCCAAAGCAGGGAGCACAGGGCGGAAUGCAUGGUUGGCCCUAGGCCCGCGCAGGAAGGAGCGAGGGCCGACACUGCCUUAGCCUUUCUCGGCUUGCACGCCGCCAAGUCCCCUACACCUCUGAAUCUCACCCUUCCGCACCCCUGCCCCCAGACCUCGCAACUAGGGGAGGUAUGUUACAGAGGACGAGGAAGCGUCCCGAAGAACCUCCUGGCGUUUAGUGGAGCCACAGAACACUAGGGCAUUGACAAGCAUCAGAACAUCAAGCAGCCUUAGAUUUCACGAUCACUCCAAAUGGGACAUAGAAAUACGGAAAUACAGC
ensembl:lncRNA